rnacentral:rRNA from 1 species
GACGUAGGGCGCGAGCGUUGUCCGGAUUUAUUGGGCGUAAAGAGCUCGUAGGCGGCUUGUCGCGUCGUCCGUGAAAACCUGCGGCUCAACUGCAGGCUGGCGGUCGAUACGGGCAGGCUGGAGUUCGGUAGGGGAGACUGGAAUUCCUGGUGUAGCGGUGAAAUGCGCAGAUAUCAGGAGGAACACCUGCGGCGAAGGCGGGUUGCUGGGCUGAUACUGACGCUGAGGCGCGAAAGCCAGGGGAGCGAACGGG